GAUCCUGGCUCAGGAUGAACGCUAGCCGCAGGCCCUAACACAUGCAAGUCGAGGGGUAAGGAGAGCUUGCUCUCCCUAGNACCGGGCGUACGGGUGCGUAACACGUGUACAAUCUACCUUUUACUAAGGGAUAGCCCGAAGAAAUUUGGAUUAAUACCUUAUAGUAUUAUUUUAUGGCAUCAUUAAAUAAUUAAAGCUACGGUGGUAAAAGAUGAGUACGCGUCCCAUUAGCUAGUUGGAGUGGUAACGGCACACCAAGGCUACGAUGGGUAGGGUUCUGAGAGGGAUGCCCCCCACACUGGUAACUUGAGACACGGAACCAGACUCCUACCGGGAGGCCAGCAGUGAGGAAUAUUGGACCAAUGGUCGGAAGACUGAUCCAGCCAUGCCGCGUGCAGGAUGACGGCCUUAUGGGUUGUAAACUGCUUUUAUACAGGAAGAAUAAGGUCUACGAGUAGAUUNAUGACGGUACUGUAUGAAUAAGCAUCGGCUAACUCCGUGCCAGCAGCCGCGGUAAUACGGAGGANGCGAGCGUUAUCCGGAAGUCAUUGGGUUUAAAGGGUCCGUAGGCGGGCGUAUAAGUCAGAGGUGAAAGCACUGAGCUCAACUGAGUAACUGCCUUUGAAACUGUAUGUCUUGAAUAGUUGUGAAGUAGCUGGAAUGUGUAGUGUAGCGGUGAAAUGCAUAGAUAUUACACAGAACACCGAUUGCGAAGGCAUGUUACUAACGACCGAUUGACGCUGAUGGGACGAAAAGCGUGGGGAGCGAACAGGAUUAGAUACCCCUGGUAGUCCACGCUGUAAACGAUGGAUACUAGCUGUUUGGUUUUCGGACUGAGUGGCUAAGCGAAAGUGAUAAGUAUCCCACCUGGGGAGUACGCACGCAAGUGUGAAACUCAAAGGAAUUGACGGGGGCCCGCACAAGCGGUGGAGCAUGUGGUUUAAUUCGAUGAUACGCGAGGAACCUUACCAAGGUUUAAAUGGGGAACGACGUACCUAGAGAUAGGUAUUUCUUCGGACGUUUUUCAAGG
rnacentral:rRNA from 1 species